CCUACGGGUGGCAGCAGUCGAGAAUCAUUCACAAUGGGGGAAACCCUGAUGGUGCGACGCCGCGUGGGGGAAUGAAGGUCUUCGGAGUGUUAACCCCUGUCAUUAGGGAGCAAAUUAAAAAGAUAGUACCACAAGAGGAAGAGACGGCUAACUCUGUGCCAGCAGCCGCGGUAAUACAGAGGUCUCAAGCGGUGUUCGGAAUUACUGGGCGUAAAGCGUGCGUAGGCUGUUUCGUAAGGCGUGUGUGAAAGGCGCGGGCUCAACCCGCGGACGGCACAUGAUACUGCGAGACUAGAGUAAGGGAGGGGGAACCGGAAUUCGCGGUGUAGCAGUGAAAUGCGUAGAUAUCGAGAGGAACACUCGUGGCGAAGGCGGGUUCCUGGACAUUAACUGACGCUGAGGCACGAAGGCCAGGGGAGCGAAAGGGAUUAGAUACCCGAGUAGUC
rnacentral:rRNA from 1 species